CUCAUUUCAGAGGGUAAACAUGAUGUAUUUUAUCAUUGUUCAUGUUGUUUUGUCAUUUCUUAUCAUAUUCAACAACACAUAUCUCUCUCUCUCUGUAGCUGUGGAUGGAGAUAUUAAUGUUGAUUCUGAUUCUCUUUUAGCUACAGGGCUUUUGAAUAGAACAGAGAGCUGCAGCCAAAAUGUUUUUAAUGUUUUUAUUAUAAUUUAGAUUCAGAGGAUGUGGCUGAAGGUAUCGACACCUUACAUCCCUCUCUCUCUCCUUGGUGGAGGAUCAUCAUUGUGCUUGUGGGUUUAGCAGCUCUCAUAGCAGCUGUUGUGCUGAUCAACAUAUGGAUAAGAACUAAAGGGAACCAAACACAGAGAGCAGACAAUACUGUGCUGAAUGAUGAGGAUGAAGAUGAAGGUACAGUGAAGUAUGAAAGCGUUGGAGAACCUUCUGCUUCUAUCAGACUCCACUGACCAACAACUUCAACAUCAGCAUGAAGUCGUAAAAGAAACGCAUCACAUAAUUUGAAGUGCUUUGCUAGAUAAUGCCAAACUUCUCUUUCAGAUUUAAACAUUUUCUAUUCAGCACUGACAGCUACGCCAUUGUUAAACUAUUAAGUCUUGAUUCGUAAAGAUAAACAGAUUGUUGUUUUUAUCAUUAUCAUUUACAUGUUAUAGUUCUUCUUUAAACACAUAGGCUACAAACAUGUUCAUUGGAAGUCUAAUAUGUUUCAUACGAUUUUUCUUGUUAGAAUUAUAUAAUCUGCUAAUUAAAAAGUGCUUGAUAACCACUAAUGCAUUGUGUUAUUUUGUAUAAAUGUAUCGCACAUUAUACUAUUAAAUAGUUAUAGAUAUUCUUUCCUAAACUCUGCAUGAAUAAAUUAUAUGGAAACAGAAUGUUACUAACCAGCAGAGAAGUAACCUGUUACUGUUCCUGUUAGUGAUCCUGCUGCACUCCAGAUUGUUUCUGGUUGAAUUUUCUGGCACAUUCCCGAUUUAAAGAGGAUACUUUGUUAAUUUGUAACCAAAGAGCAACUACAAAUGAUGAGGUGUUCCACUGGGAUCGAUUGUCGGGCCUCUCCUUUUAAGUUCUCACACUAUCUACAGUGUGUAAUAACCUGAAAUAUCUCACUGAAAUCAUGAAGAUAUCCCACAUUACAUACAAUUUAACACAAAUAAUAAAAAAUAAAGAUGUUUUUCUGAUGAACCACAAAGGCAACAGACUGAUCUGGUCUGUGGGACGACUGUUCUGGACAUAAUUUCCUAUUGGUCAGUCCGCCCCUGUCUGCUGCUUACCAACAGAGGGUAAAACCUCCAGAGCUCUGCUGCUGUUGUUACCCACAUUCUCACCAAGACACUUCCCCUUGAGUUCUGAUUAAAAAUAACACGAAGCUGCAUAGUGGAACAAACACCUCUCAAACCACUAAAGUGUCAAUGUUUGUCUCUAGUAUCACCAUGUUGCACCAGUGUCCUCAGAACUGUCUUGGGCAAGAAGAUUAGUUUAUUUUUGCAUUUAAACUGAUACUAUUAAGACCCAAUCUGACCUGAACUGAACUCUUACUACAAAAAAAGGGUUUGUUCAUUAGAAAGAACGGAUUCCUCAACAUCAAUCAAUGGAUCGUGUGUGAUGUGAAAAAAAAUUACCAAAAUUCAAGCUUUAAACAGUCACUUUCCUCUACAUGUGUAAUUUAAAAUUAUGCC